UGAAAUCAAAACAAAACAAAACAAAGUGGGAGCCUUAGCCUUUAGGGCUCAAAAGAGAAGUAGAAUGGAUAAUUAUAUAAGAAGAUCAUCCACAUGGGGCAUAACACAACACUAUAAAAUGUUCAGCCAUUGUUGGGGGAGCACACCAAUCAUAUGAUCAACUAAGCUUUUUAAGGAUAGUAAGAGAAGGCUUUACUGAAUCCUCUUUUUAAUUAUAAUAUGAUGAUAUCAUCUUAUUUCUCUUUUCUAAACAAAAAUGGACAUGCAAGCAGGGCGUUAUUGCUCUUUAUCAAAGAUGGUUAUCCAAUGCCAGCCCUGCAAUUAACUAUAAAGGUGGAUGAGUCUCUUCCAAUAUCAUAUUCUGCAUUUUUCAUUUUUUUUAACAAAUAAAAGAAAAUUGAUUUAAUCUUUUUAAUGGAUUCAAUGGAAACAUAAAGAGCUAUCAAAAUAGACAGACAGAUAAGGAGAAUCAAACUAGAGACCUUACUACAUUUUAAAGGUGGAAGAAUAUUAUGUAAAAUUACAAUCAGAAUAAUGUAUGAGAGAAUUCAUUAUAGUUUUUUAAAUUUCAAAGAUAUAAGAACCUAGCUUCUAUGUGUGUGUUAUUUUUUCCAAUGGUUUUAUGAAGCUUUAGCUGCAUUUAGAUUGGAUUACAAGCAAUCGGUGUUUGCCCAUCUUGUUAGCUGUAACCAGUAGUGCAUUAAGAAGCCCACCACUUAACACUAAAAGAAGCUAGAAUGCUAAACUCGUUCAUUUAGUCUAGUGGGUCAUAUAAAAAAAAAUAAUGAUAUGAAAAGAAAAAAAAAGAUUACAUGAAGCUUCAAUUUCUCUUUCUUAAAUUAAAUCUAUUAAUAGCAAGUAACCAAAAAGCAAUUAAAUAUCACAUGGACUGAACUGAAAGAUAAGUGACAGAGGAACAAUCAGUGGCAAUAUGUAUCCCAUCACACCCACAAUAAUUACAAGCCAAACGACAAAGGCAUAGCUUAGAUUGUGGAAUCAUUUUAUUUUACAUCAAUUCAGCCAAUUUCAAGCUCUCCUAUUUGCUUUAAAUAACUUUUUCCAAUUCAUUGACUCUAAAACCAGUUAUAGAAACAAAACAGACAAGAAGAAGAUGUCAAUACUGAACAGUGUUAAUUAAGAUAAAGCCUUGACACUGUUUCAAGUCAUAGGAUCAUGGGUGUCUGUUCUUGCAGCUUUAUGUUGCAUCAACGAGGAAAUAUGAGUCCUCUUGUAAUAAGCAAAACAAAAAAUAGAAAUAGAAAAUGAAAAUAUAACCUCUUGUCCAAUCACUACAUGUGCUUGAUGAUUCUUGUGUUCAAUAAGGNNNNNNNNNNNNGCAAUUCAUGAAAUUAGAAUGUUGAGGAUGCUCCAUACCGUUUCUAGACACUACCAUAACAAUUUCUUAUCAUUCAUUUAUGUCCUUGUGUUCAAAGCAAAGAACCAGUAACUUAAAUUUUCAUGGUGCACAAUGGUGAUACAUACAAUAUCCUUCCUGUUUCUAUUUAGCCUAUGUAAAAGGACCCCAUCUUAAUUGGACACUGACUUGUUUUUGUUUGGACAUUUUUGUAAGCAUGUGGUGAGCACUUAAAGGUAAGGGAUCAACUUCUGUUUGUACAUUGAUUAAUUAGAUCAGAAAUUUUAAUGCGAUGACUGCGAUUUUCCAACUAUCACCGUCACUGUAAAUGAAACUAAUUCAAAGGUGAAAUUAAAGCGUACCCAGUAGAGAUGACUGAAGGUAAAUGAACCCCAGUAGUGUGGAUGCUUCAUUGGCUCUAAGCAAUCCUGUUGACGGAAGAGAGAGUCACCCGCAAGC
rnacentral:lncRNA from 1 species